rnacentral:rRNA from 1 species
UACGUAGGGGGCAAGCGUUGUCCGGAAUCAUUGGGCGUAAAGCGCGUGUAGGCGGCUCGGUAAGUCUGCUGUGAAAGUCCAGGGCUCAACCCUGGAAUGCCGGUGGAAACUGCCGAGCUUGAGUCCGGAAGAGGCGAGUGGAAUUCCUGGUGUAGCGGUGAAAUGCGCAGAUAUCAGGAGGAACACCAAUGGCGAAGGCAGCUCGCUGGGACGGUACUGACGCUGAGGAGCGAAAGCGUGGGGAGCGAACAGG